CUCACCCGUUGAAGCAUACGAAGGCGGAACCUCUCCGACUCCCACUGCUUCGGGGCGUUGAAUAUCCCUUGCCGUAGACUGAAGCCGGACGU
rnacentral:pre_miRNA from 1 species